rnacentral:lncRNA from 1 species
UUGCAGCGAAACCAAAAACAAAAAAGAAGAAGAAGAAGAAGAAAUUUGGCGGCAAAGUAAAGUGGGAAAAUUGUUUCCGUUGUCUUAUUAAUAAGGGUUAAGUUAAAAAGUUUUUAUAAAAGUUUAUAGUACUACACGAAUAAGAAAACUAAACAACAACCUUUGACAAUGGAGGAGCUUAUACAGAAGAAACGCAAAAGGAAGAUACCUAGUCUGAGUGGAGGAUCCGAAGAAAAUUGCUCUCCAAACAUUGUAGAAGAGACUGUUGUUAAAAAAUCGAAGUCA